rnacentral:rRNA from 1 species
UGGCCUUUAUGCCCAGGGCUACACACGUGCUACAAUGGGUGGUACAAAGAGCAGCCAGCUCGCGAGAGUGAGCAAAUCUCAAAAAGCCAUCCUCAGUUCGGAUUGAAGUCUGCAACUCGACUUCAUGAAGUUGGAAUCGCUAGUAAUCGCGGAUCAGCAUGCCCGCGGUCCGAAUACGUUCCCGGGCCUU